rnacentral:rRNA from 1 species
GGAAUCUUGCGCAAUGGACGGGCGUCCGACGCAGCGACGCCGCGUGGGUGAAGACGGCCUUCGGGUUGUAAAGCCCUUUUCUGGGGGAAGAGAGAGGACGGUACUCCAGGAAUAAGUGUCGGCUAACUACGUGCCAGCAGCCGCGGUAAUACGUAGGACACGAGCGUUAUCCGGAUUUACUGGGCGUAAAGCGCCUGUAGGCGGUUCUUCAAGUCGUUUGUGAAAGCCCUGGGCUCAACCUGGGGAGGCCAAGCGAUACUGGAGGACUUGAGGGUGACAGAGGGGAGUGGAAUUUCCGGUGUAGCGGUAAAAUGCGCAGAUAUCGGGAGGAACACCAGUGGCGAAGGCGGCUCCCUGGUCACCCCUGACGCUGAGAGGCGAAAGCUAGGGGAGCAAACAG